rnacentral:rRNA from 1 species
AACGAACGCUGGCGGCAUGCCUAACACAUGCAAGUCGAACGAGACCUUCGGGUCUAGUGGCGCACGGGUGCGUAACGCGUGGGAACCUGCCCUUAGGUUCAGAAUAACUCCCCGAAAGGGGUGCUAAUACCGGAUAAUGUCUUCGGACCAAAGAUUUAUCGCCUUUGGAUGGGCCCGCGUUGGAUUAGCUAGUUGGUAGGGUAAAAGCCUACCAAGGCGACGAUCCAUAGCUGGUCUGAGAGGAUGAUCAGCCACACUGGGACUGAGACACGGCCCAGACUCCUACGGGAGGCAGCAGUGGGGAAUAUUGGACCAUGGGCGAAAGCCUGAUCCAGCAAUGCCGCGUGAGUGAUGAAGGCCUUAGGGUUGUAAAGCUCUUUUAACCGGGAUGAUAAUGACAGUACCGGGAGAAUAAGCUCCGGCUAACUCCGUG